AACGCGAAGAACCUUACCUACUCUUGACAUCCAGAGAACUUUCCAGAGAUGGAUUGGUGCCUUCGGGAACUCUGAGACAGGUGCUGCAUGGCUGCCGUCAGCUCGUGUUGUGAAAUGUUGGGUUAAGUCCCGCAACGAGCGCAACCCUUAUCCUUUGUUGCCAGCGGUUAGGCCGGGAACUCAAAGGAGACUGCCAGUGAUAAACUGGAGGAAGGUGGGGAUGACGUCAAGUCAUCAUGGCCCUUACGAGUAGGGCUACACACGUGCUACAAUGGCGCAUACAAAGAGAAGCGACCUCGCGAGAGCAAGCGGACCUCAUAAAGUGCGUCGUAGUCCGGAUUGGAGUCUGCAACUCGACUCCAUGAAGUCGGAAUCGCUAGUAAUCGUAGAUCAGAAUGCUACGGUGAAUACGUUCCC
rnacentral:rRNA from 1 species